rnacentral:rRNA from 1 species
AGAUACCCCACUAUGCCUAGCCAUAAACAUUGACAGUACUUUACACCCACUGUUCGCCUGGGGACUACGAGCGCAAGCUUAAAACCCAAAGGACUUGGCGGUGCUUUAGACCCCCCUAGAGGAGCCUGUUCUAGAACCGAUAACCCCCGUUCAACCUCACCCUUUCUUGUCCAUCCCGCCUAUAUACCACCGUCGUCAGCUUACCCUCUGAAGGUUCAAUAGUAAGCACAAUUGGCACAGCCCAAGACGUCAGGUCGAGGUGUAGCGUAUGAAAGGGGAAGAAAUGGGCUACAUUCACCCUUUACGGUGUACUACGAAAGAUGCAAUUGAAACAUUCAUCAGAAGGAGGAUUUAGCAGUAAG